UGGUGGAGUGAUUUGUCUGGUUAAUUCCGUUAACGAACGAGACCUCGACCUGCUAAAUAGUUCGAUGAAUCUUUGGAUUUGUACGGUACUUCUUAGAGGGACUAUCGGUGGUUCAGCCGAUGGAAGUUCGAGGCAAUAACA
rnacentral:rRNA from 1 species